CUGGAUGUUUUGAUAGAAACAAACUCUUAACAGGGUAUUGAAAAACAAAUACCAUAAGUAAUCGAUAGAGCAUUCUGUCAAAACAUCCAGAUAUCAAGAAAAUAAGAUUAGAGAACAAAAGCUGAACUGACCAGUUUAAUCAAAAUUCACUCUCUCUCCAGUAGAAAAGAUGAUGUAGAACAGGGCUGAGAGAAAAUAUAAGAGUGAUGUAAGCAACAGAAAUCCUCGGAAUGAACCCACCAGUUCCACAAAGAAACCAGCUCCAACAGUUCCCACAAUGGCUGCUAAAGUCCCAGCAGUAUUUGAGAUUCCAUGUAAAACACCAGAAUAACGUGGAGCAAUCUCCUGGAGGUUCACAAGAAAACCUGAGUGACUAAAAGCUUUCAGUGCAACACCUAAAGUAAGCCAGGCAGAUGCUAUAGAUGGACUUUUUGCAGUAGUCAAACCAAUAAGAGCAAUCCCAGGACCAAUAAAACCGAUUGACUGCAUGA
rnacentral:misc_RNA from 1 species